rnacentral:rRNA from 1 species
AUGAACGAGGGCCACAACCUCCUUCUCGUGCCUCUGCUCCCCCGACUGGCCACGGCCUCAAUCCUCUACCUGGUCCACUUCGUCAUGAGCAGCGGCGAAGGACCCUGCCACCUUGGAGCAGGCCGUGGCACUGGAACUGUACAUCGGAGCGGCUACGAGGGUUCACCCUUCACCGUGACCCAGGAGGAGGCGGAGGCGGAGGCGUUCACCGUCAAGGCCAGGGCGGAGUACGAGGCGGAGGAGGACCGUGAGGAGGAGGAGGCGGCCUUCACCGUCAAGGCCAAGACAGAGGAGGAGGCGGCCUUCACCGUCCAGGCCAAGGCGGAGGAGGAGGUGGAGGACUCGGACGAUGACUGCGACUCGGACGAAGAAGCGGGCUUGGACCACGAUGAGUUCAUGGCCAGGCUGAUCGCAGACUACAACGCCGAAUCCGAGAAGAUCAAGGCUGACAAUCCAUGGUUGACGUACACGGACUAUUCCACUGAGGAAUACGCCUACAUGCGCCGCAACCCGGAGGAGGUGGAGGAGGAGUCCGACGACGACUCGGACGAGAAGCUCAGGAUUUAUGCCGACAUGUUCCGACAGCUGGGAGGGGAGGGUUCCCAUGUUGUUGAUGGGCUUGUUCUGUGCAGGGCUCUUCUUCGUUUUGUACAUUUCGCUAGCGUCCAGAUUGCACCGAUUCGGAUACGCGUAUCAGCAUCGGGGCAUAAAUACGUCAUUUCUGAAAAGCUUUCCAAAAAGCGCCAAUACAGGGAUACAUUUGACUACUUUUAA